GACAUCACGGAUAGGGCGACUUCUAUGUAGAUGAGGCAGCGCAGGGGCUGCUGCUUCGCCACUUGCUGCUUCGCCACUUGCUGCUUCGCCACGAAGGAGUUCCCGUGCCGUGGGAGCGGGUUUAGGACCGCCGAUCAGAAGACACAGAGCACAACCAAGACCUGGAGAGCGCCCUCAUCCGGCUGGAGGAGGAGCAGCAGAGGAGUGCCAGCCUGGCCCAGGUGAAUGCCAUGCUCCGAGAACAGCUGGACCAGGCAGGCUCGGCCAACCAGGCUCUGAGUGAGGACAUACGAAAGGUGACCAGCGACUGGACACGCAGCCGCAAGGAGCUGGAGCAGCGGGAGGCGGCAUGGAGGCGCGAGGAGGAGGGACCUGCUGCAGCUGGGAGGGGAACUGGCCCGGACAUCACGAGCUGUCCAGGAGGCGGGCCUGGGACUGAGCACGGGCCUACGGCUGGCAGAGAGCCGGGCCGAGGCAGCCCUGGAGAAGCAGGCCCUGCUGCAGGCCCAGCUGGAGGAGCAGCUGCGGGACAAGGUACUCCGCGAGAAGGACCUGGCCCAGCAGCAGAUGCAAAGCGACCUGGACAAGGCUGACCUCAGUGCCAGAGUGACAGAGCUGACCCUGGCAGUGGAGCGUCUUCAGAAGCAGAAUCUGGAGAAGGAUCAGGUCAACAAGGACCUCACCGAGAAGCUUGAGGCCCUGGAAUCCCUGCGGCUACAGGAGCAGGCGGCCCUGGAGACAGAGGACGGAGAGGGGUUACAGCAGACCCUAAGGGACCUGGCACAGGCUGUCCUGUCUGACGCUGAGAGCGGCGUCCAGCUGAGCGGCUCCGAGCGCACUGCGGAUGCAUCCGAGGGCAGCCUGGGGGGCUCUCGGGCCAGCGGACCCCGUCCCCACCGCGGCGCUCCUCGCCCGGCCGAGGCCGUUCACCUCGCCGAGGCCCCUCCCCGGCCUGCUCAGACUCCUCCACGCUCGCCCUGAUCCACUCCGCCCUGCACAAGCGCCAGCUGCAGGUCCAGGACAUGCGUGGGCGCUAUGAGGCAAGCCAGGACCUGCUGGGUACCCUGCGGAAGCAGCUUAGCGACAGCGAGAGUGAGCGGCGGGCCCUAGAGGAACAGCUGCAGCGCCUGCGGGACAAGACCGACGGCGCAAUGCAGGCCCACGAGGACGCCCAGCGCGAGGUGCAGCGGCUGCGGAGCGCCAACGAGCUCCUGAGCAGUCACACCCAGCUGGCUGGCCAACAUGGUGAAACCCUGUUUCUACUAAAAAUACAAAAAUUAACCAGGCAUGGUGGCAUGCUCCUGUAAUCCCAGCUACUCAGGAGGCUGAGGUGGGAGAAUCACUUGAACCCUGGAGGCAGAGGUUGCAAUGAGCCAGGAUCGUGCCACUGCACUCCAGGCUGGGAGACAGAGCGAGACUCCGUCUCAAAAA
rnacentral:sRNA from 1 species